rnacentral:sRNA from 1 species
GUGCCCCUGCGCUGAGCGAGUGGCUUUAUGUUGCCUGAGCCGAUGCAUGUCUUAUGGGAGCUUCGCUACGCUGAUUGUGAGCGUCCCACUUGUUUGGGAUACCUGAUUUCAACGUGCCGCGCCCACCUCGUCAUAGAGGGUUCGACGACUUGCCGUCACUACGUCAGUGCGGGGGUGCU